rnacentral:rRNA from 1 species
UACGAAGGGGGCUAGCAUUGCUCGGAAUCACUGGGCGUAAAGGGUGCGUAGGCGGGGCUUUAAGUCAGGGGUGAAAUCCUGGAGCUCAACUCCAGAACUGCCUUUGAUACUGAGGAUCUUGAGUUCGGGAGAGGUGAGUGGAACUGCGAGUGUAGAGGUGAAAUUCGUAGAUAUUCGCAAGAACACCAGUGGCGAAGGCGGCUCACUGGCCCGAUCCUGACGCUGAGGCACGAAAGCGUGGGGAGCAAACAGG